rnacentral:rRNA from 1 species
GAUGAACGCUGGCGGCGUGCCUAAUACAUGCAAGUCGAGCGACCCGACGAGGAGCUUGCUCCUCUGACGUUAGCGGCGGACGGGUGAGUCACACGUGGAUAACCCACCUUUAUGCCUGGGAUAACUUCGGGAAACCGGCGCUAAUACCGGAUAAUAUAUUGAACCGCAUGGCUCAAUAGUGAAAGACGGAUUUGCUGUCACUUAUAGAUGGAUCCGCGCCGCAUUAGCUAGUUGGUAAGGUAACGGCUUACCCAGGCAACGCUGCGUAGCCGGCCUGAGAGGGUGAUCGGCCACACUGGAACUGAGACACGGUCCAGACUCCUACGGGAGGCAGCAGUAGGGAAUCUUCCGCAAUGGGCGAAAGCCUGACGGAGCAACGCCGCGUGAGUGAUGAAGGUCUUCGGAUCGUAAAACUCUGUUAUUAGGGAAGAACAAAGGUGUAAGUAACUAUGCACGUCUUGACGGUACCUAAUCAGAAAGCCACGGCUAACUACGUG